UACAGAGAGUGCAAACGUUGUUCGGAAUUACUGGGCUUAAAGCGCACGUAGGCGGCAUCGUAAGUGUGGGGUGAAAUCCCACGGCUCACCCGUGGAACUGCCUGGCAGACUGCGAUGCUCGAGUGUGGUAGGGGAGAGCGGAACUCCUGGUGGAGCGGUGAAAUGCGUAGAUAUCAGGAGGAACACCGGUGGCGAAGGCGGCUCUCUGGUCCACAACUGACGCUGAGGUGCGAAAGCUAGGGGAGCAAACGGG
rnacentral:misc_RNA from 1 species